rnacentral:rRNA from 1 species
UACGAAGGGGGCUAGCGUUGCUCGGAAUCACUGGGCGUAAAGCGCACGUAGGCGGCUUCUUAAGUCAGGGGUGAAAUCCUGGAGCUCAACUCCAGAACUGCCUUUGAUACUGAGAAACUUGAGUCCGGGAGAGGUGAGUGGAACUGCGAGUGUAGAGGUGAAAUUCGUAGAUAUUCGCAAGAACACCAGUGGCGAAGGCGGCUCACUGGCCCGGUACUGACGCUGAGGUGCGAAAGCGUGGGGAGCAAACAGGG